rnacentral:lncRNA from 10 species
UCAGCUUUUCCCAAACAAAACUUUAUAUUCUAUUUUCUUUAGGAGCUCAGUGAAUCUAAACAUUAAGUUUCAAUAUAAAAUCUUUAGAAACACCGUAAAACUAUGUAAACAGUGGUAGUUUGCAUCUCUUUGUUUGUAAUCAAUCACUGAGCCCAUGAAAUUCAAAGCCAGACAAAUCCUUGUACUACUAAGGGUCAUAAGCCAGAAUGUCUUAAAAAAUAUCCUCAAAGCUUUGGAAUCCAGUAAGAAUUAGGAAAUGAGUCGGAGUCAGACACCCCGAGCACAAACUAGCGCAACCCCACAAAACAUGUUUGAGUUUUCAUCCUGGACUCUAUUUUUAAUAGUAUGUUAGAAUUAAAAACAGAAUUCUGCCUCUGUAUUUAUAAGUGAGAUUAGUCUACAGUUUUAUUUUUUAUACUAUUUUAAAUCAGGUUUUAUAAUCACAAUAACACUGGCUAUUUAAAACAAACUGUGCAUUUUCACCCUAUAGUCUUGGGAUAGUUCAAGUAAAAUUAUCUAUAUUUUGAGGACUUGACAAAACUCAGCUGUACAUUUUUCUAUGGUAGAUUUUUCUUUAAAAAAUCCAUGGUAAUUGCUCUAGCUCAAGUUUCUCUUUUCAUAAGUCAGUCAGUUAAUUUUUUUAAAACAUUUUGCAAGCAUUCACUCAUUUCCUCUAGGUUCUAAAAUUUGUUGCCUCAGAGUUGCAAUGUAGUGUUAUUUAUUUUUUGAGAUAAAAUCUCAUUCUGUCACCCAGGCUGGAAUGCAGUGACACGAUCUCGGCUCACUGCAACCUCCACCUCCACCUCCUGGGUUCAAGCGAUUCUCCUGCCUCAGCCUCCUGAGUCGCUGGGAUUACAGAUGUGCACCACCACACCCAGCUAAUUUUUGUAUUUUUAGUAGAGACAGGGUUUCACCAUGUUGGCCAGGAUGGUCUUGAACUCCUGACCUCAGGUGAUUCAUCCACCUCGGCCUCCCAAAGUGCUGGGAUUAUAGGCAUGAACCACUGCGCCUGGCCUAUUUUUCAAGUCUUUUCAUCCUCCUGUAUCUGGAAUAAAAUUCCCUUUCUCAUUCCUCAUUUUGUCUAUUUUUGUUUGCUUUUUUCUUUAUUGGGGUUGUGAAGGAUUCAUCUUUUUUGUUUUGCUUUCUAUUAAUUUUAGUCUCUAUUCUUUCUUGCAAGUUUUGUUCUCUUUCAAUUUCUUAAAUACUUCCUUUUCAGGCUUUUAAGACCCAAGAAUUCCUUGGUACAGCUUUCUCUGUAUCCUGUAAAUUUUGAUAUGAAAUAAUUAAUAGUCUCUUUUUCUUUGCUUUUGAGACCAUUGGUAGUUUUCCUUUUAAUUUCCUCUUUGAUCCAAUAGAUAUAUCCAGGAAUGUUUUCUUAAUUAUCAGAAAAUAUAGCCUACAACAUCUACUUUUACAAAAAUUUAAAGUUUCUUUAGUGAUAUACUUUUUUAUAUGGAGACAUACUAAAAAAUUCUAUUUGACUGAUGAAAGGCUUUCUAUGUUUUUAUUAAACCAAACUUCUUGUUUAUAUUCAAUUUUCCUGUCAUCUUGUCUCUUCGUAUAUUUUAAAUCAAGCUCUUCUAUGUUAAUCACUCUUGUUUUACGUAUUCGUUACGUUGUUUGUUUGAUAUAGAUCAGCUGUUCAGCACCUACUGUCUCUCAACAUGCUUAGUGCUCUUAACCCUAAAUUCCACAUUGCCUGACGCUACCAUGCAUGCAUGCUUUUUUGUUCACCUGUCAUCACUAUUCUCACCCCUUUAAGGGCAACCUUUUAUUAUCACUUUAUGUGUGUUUCUUGGAAAAAAGUUAUUGCUAGUUUUUAAACCCAGUCUGCUCAUCUCUGCUUUUAAUUGGGGAAUUCAGUCAUAUUUGAUACGAGAUAUUCACUUCUCAACUACCAAUUUCAAACAACAUUCUCUGUAUCCUCUCUUAUCCCAAUAAAAUGAGGUUUAAAGUGAAGUUUUGAGUAUUUUUACUCCCCCUUUCUGCAUACUCCCUACUUUUGUUUAUUUUUUGAAACAGGGUCUCACUCUGUCACCCAGGCUGGAGUGCAGUGGCAUGAUCUCGGCUCACUGCAGCCUCCACCUUCUAGGCUCAAGUGAUUGAUUCUCCUGUCUCAGCCUAUCAAGUAGCUAGGACUACAGGUGCGUCAGCACACCUGGCUAAUUUUUUUAUUUUAUUUUUUGUAGAGAUGCGGUUUUCCUAGGUUGCUCCUGCUGGUCUCCGACUCCUGAGCUCAAGUAAUCCUCCUGCCUCAGCCUCCCAAAGUGCUAGGAUUGCAGGUAAAUGAUGUCUUGCUUGGGAAUAGAACCCUUGGAGCGUGUAGAUGGGAUACCACGGUCUUCCAGCUCCUAUUGCAGGGCUGCUUUGUGUGGGAAAGCUGGUGGCAGAUCAUGGAAAGACGGCCCAUCAUAGAACCAAACACACGUGAUCACAGGCAUGACGCAAAACAAUGAAGCUUGGUACCUUCCUCUCGCCACAGGAUGUUUGCAACUGCAGCAGCAGAGAAUGAGGAAAGCAGGAGUGUGAUGGAGUCAAGGAAAAAGAAGAAAGCAGUGUUAAACCGUCACUGCAGUGAUUCCAUUUAUGAAGAUCCUGGUACCUAGUCCAUCACUUACAGAAUCUAUACCACUCAUUGCCCUAGGAACAGUAUCUUGGGGGAAGCUCUGGACAUGAACAAAUGCUUUCAGGUCUCCAGACCCUUUGAUUCUUAAGUGAAUCUUUGAAAUCAUGCCCUAGGACCACAGAAGCUAAUGGAAUUUCUCACAUUUCAUGGAUGAUCAAGAGUAAGCAACAUCUCUCCCAGAUUUCCUGGACAACCAGCAGGAGAAGUGACUUUCAACUAGGAUUCUCCUAAGAUGACCACGUGAAAUACUUCUGAUUAUCUACUUUGAUGAAAAUGGCUUAGCCUGGAGUCUUUGACCAUGAUUAACACCCAUGUCUAUGAAAUCACACCUGCAGGCCUACCUGGGGAGCAGUGGUUAUGAGGAGAGCACGCUUAGCACACCGAUGGGCUGGACCCCUAGUGUAAAGGCUACCACACUCCCAAUGGUGUGCAUGUGUGCACAGGUCAGGUUCUGGGCCACUGUGGGACAUCACGUGGAUGAAGGGCAGAGGUUCAGGGCAUACAGCAAGUAAAAAGCAGAGCUGGGACUCGACUAUUUGGGUUUCCUUGUGUUCCUGGGCUCUGUCUGCUGUCCAGGGAAUCUCCCUGUCUGUUUCCAGAGUUGUCUAGGUUGCCAGGGAAGGCCUGCUCACCUCUGGGUGCCCUCCAAUUCCAGCUUUAUGCAAAGAGGGAUAUGAGGCUUACCCCUGUCUUCACGGGCUCAUGGUUGGCAGCUGUGGCCCUGGUCAAUUGGUGCCCUCCCUUGCCACCCAACACCUCCCAGCCAGCUCAGUGAGAAGCAUAAACGCGUGUCGACUUACGGGUCUUUCUAGCUGAGUCUUCAAUGAAGAGCGAGGAGAUAUCUUCAUCCACACCCACUUCAUUUUUGGCAAUGCAGGUGUAUGCCCCUGUGUCUUCAUACCGAACACUGCUGAUGUGGAGUUCGCUCCCAUUGGCUGCAGACAGGACAGUGCUCAGGGUGGACUGCUCAGCUGGAGACCCACUCACUUUCCUUUAUGGGGCCAUUGAGAGUGUUAGGGCUGCCCAGCCCCUGGGCAGCCAGCAGCCCUGAUUAUACGCCCAGGAAGGGCUGGCACAUCUGAAAUGCACUGAGGGUGAGCUGGACCUGAGUGACAGCUUCUCAUCAUUGCUGUCAGAAAGCCCCAAAAGAUCUGUGUGAGCCCAGAUAACAGGGAAAUUUGGGAGCCAUCUGUUCACUCCUAACCUGUCUGACUUAUAAACAAAUUAUACCUCUCGUUUCCAUUCCUGGAGUCUCAGCUUGAUUUGAAUGGGAAUAUCGCAUAGACGUCUACCAAGGGCAGUUCUUACCUAAAAGGGAGAGCUGUUUGGACAUCUGAGUUGAGACAUCCACGCCGUUUUUCAGCCAAGUGAUUCUGGGCAUGGGAAUGCCCUCAGCAUG